UUCUUUGUAGCUCAAUGGUAGAGCAAAUGGCUGUUAACCAUUAGGUUAUAGGUUCAAAUCCUAUCAAAGAUG
rnacentral:tRNA from 2 species